AUCCAAUGACUGAAAAGCAAGUAAUGGUCUCUUAAAUCAAUUUAUGGUACUAGCAAUUACCUUGGAUAGC
rnacentral:tRNA from 1 species